AUCCUCUUGUAGUUCAUAAGUGUGAUAGCUGGGUGUUCACAUGCAUGUGUGAGAUGUGCUACCCUGAAACCCUGUUAUGAUGUUGGCACAUUACUCAUCUGAAA
ensembl:snoRNA